UACAGAGGUCUCAAGCGUUGUUCGGAUUCAUUGGGCGUAAAGGGUGCGUAGGUGGCGCGGUAAGUCGGGUGUGAAAUCUCGGAGCUUAACUCCGAAACUGCAUUCGAUACUGCGGUGCUUGAGGACUGGAGAGGAGACUGGAAUUCAUGGUGUAGCAGUGAAAUGCGUAGAGAUCAUGAGGAAGACCAGUGGCGAAGGCGGGUCUCUGGACAGUUCCUGACACUGAGGCACGAAGGCCAGGGGAGCAAACGGG
rnacentral:rRNA from 1 species